CAACUAUUCUAACUCUUUAAUUAGGCUUUUUACUUAACUACAUAAAGCAUAGCAUUUUUGAUAAUGUCGCAAAAGGUAGACUGCCAUCUAAUGUGGGAAACGUUCGUCUAUUAUUAUAAGCAGUAUUGUUGCUUAUUCUUCUUCCUUGGUCUCAAAAAACCUUUUGGUUAUUUAAAUACAUCUACAGGCUUUACAAAUUGAAUUCAAGUAGGACCGCCAUUUUUGCAUUUUUGACGCUUCUAUCACCGCCACUGGCGACGCCAAUUAGAACGCCAUGACGCUCAAAUGGUUAAUUACAUAUGGUGUAUUAUUCAAUGUAACUUAUAUUUUUAAUGUAUUAACACAUUUUUUAUUUACUUCUUAUAAAAACAGUUUUAAAUUUAUUUACACAAAUUAGAUUAUGCUGAUUGUUUAAGCUAUAAUGUGUCUUUAUUUUAAAAAAUUGAAUAAUUCUAAUAAAAACUGUCCUUUUC